AAGGUUUCUUUGCGGUGCAUGUGGUUUGUGAUUGCUGACAUCUUCAGCUUUAGGAUUGCCUUCUCAGCCCUUCUGCACAUAUGUAUUCAUCCUAUUAUUAACUGCCUCUCAUUUAUCAGUUCUUCAUUCAUUUUUGCUUCUCUGCACUAUCUGCUGUUUUUUUGUUUUUUUUAUUAUUAGCUCCACUGACUCUAGCUUUCAUCUUCUUCCAUCCAGACUAGAAACCCUGGAGACUGGAAGGUCCCAUGUCACUCACAGUUGGAGGCAGCCUAAAAGGAGCUCUUCUGUGUGGAGAACCUCCAAGCUGCAGAGGAAGGCGAUAAACCAAGAAUUCACAGCUGGGACAACUGCACCUUUGUUCUCCUGCACAUGUAUAGUUUGGUGGGCUUCAGACCUCAGGACAUCUGCUCCGGCAUGCCUUUGUACUGCUGACCUGCUGCUUCUUACUGGUGCUUAAUUCUUCAAUGCACCCCCUUAUAAACAACAAGCGAUGUCCACAUCGGCAAUGAUCUUACAGUAAGCAUGAGUGAAAGUUCUACCAUGGCUGCUACUACUCUGUGAUAUCUCACUGGUUUCUCACAGCAUUAUAAAGUGCAUGGGGAAAAUUCCAGGAAAAUAUUUGGCGAACAAGCUCAUCAGCAUACACAACAAAUACACAGUGGUCAUUUUUGACAAUCAGCACUGGUGGUCCUUUGAUACCUGCAUCUCUUGGCUUGAGGACUGGUCUGGUGUGAGACCUUCCAUGAGUCAUUCUUCAUCUUUGACCCAGAUAUGAAAUCUUUAUGGACCUCAGUGCAUCUUCUUCAUGCUAUUAGGAGCGCUCCAUGAUAUUUGGUUCCCCAGACAAUCUUUGUCCAUCUCCUACCCUGCCCCAACUUGCCUGGACAAGGUUGAGUGAGUUAUUUUACCUUAGACGCAGGAGUACUUCUGGUGCUAGAGCAACGCCCAUUGCAAGCUCUUCCGGGUCAAACAGUGGUCCCACAAAGUAGGGGUCAUAGAUCCCAGCAGUACUGAUUGAAUGGGCUUUGUGAUGCACUGGAAUGCUCGAUUUCUGCUUUGCUCCUGUUCUGGCAUCAUGUUGUUUUAUAAAGAAAAGAAGAUUCAGAAAAUAAAUGGAAGUUUGCUCUAUUUUCUCUUUGCACUGUUAAACACUAUUAUACUGAUGUUCUCUAAACACCAACCUCGUUUUACAUUUCUAUUUCUGGGACUCAAACUGUAUUUACUGUGAACCGUCAUCUUUUCAAUACCUUUUCUUAUUUCAAAAAUGUCUUUCUCUGAACCUCCCAAAAUUUAACCUAUAACUUGUGUGAAUUAUAGACCUUAUUCAUUUUAUUAUAAACAUUUAAAUUUUAAAAAUAAUUAUAUUUUAAAGUAAAU